rnacentral:misc_RNA from 1 species
GCCGGUGUUUGCCGGCUCCUCUCGAAAUCAUUAGCUUUGAGUUGAUCUUGAUGGCUUGACCGGUGUGAUAAACAUCUACGCCGAUUCAUGCUGUCCUGAGCGACGACGUCGGAGACGCUCUGGCUUAUAACCGUCUUCACCGAAGGACAACACCCUGAACUUUUGAUCUCAAAUCAGGUAGGACUACCCGCUGAACUUAA